rnacentral:rRNA from 1 species
CAUUAAUGAAAACAUUAGGAGUUGCUGCUGGUCUCUUGAGACAUUUGUGCACACUCCGUUUUUCAUCCACUCACACCUGUGCACUUUAUGAGGUUUGCGCCUCUUUUUAUACACUCUUUGUAUUUUAAGAACGUCUUUGUUGUUAUAUAACAAAAAAUGAACAACUUUCAACAACGGAUCUCUUGGCUCUCGCAUCGAUGAAGAACGCAGCGAAAUGCGAUAAGUAAUGUGAAUUGCAGAAUUCAGUGAAUCAUCGAAUCUUUGAACGCACCUUGCACUCCUUGGUAUUCCGAGGAGUAUGCCUGUUCGAGUGUCAUGAAACUCUCAACUAUAUAACUUUUGUUAUGUAGCUUGGAUCUGGAGUUUGUCGGCCUCACCGUCGACUACUCUGAAAUGCAUUAGCCAGGACUUGCGGAAGUGACUCCACCGGGACCUCAGCGUAAUAAUUACAAUGCGCUUACUCGGGGAUUUUUCCAAGUAGUUCGGCUUAUAAAGCCCACUAUUCAUUCUAUUUGACCUCGAAUCAGGUAGGACUACCC